UUUAGCAAUUGCACAUGUAAAUCUCUGGCAGACUGAGCCCUUAACAUCACACAAGCUGGGCUCCAUGUGAGCUCAACCCACCUGAUGCUCGUGCAUCUGAAAUACUAUUGACGAGCACUGAGGGGCAGCUGAGCAAUGGGGUGUGCUCUGCAGAGGCACAGCUGGGGGUCCCAGGGGACUUGGUGAGUCCUCACGGCUACGUGAGUGGCCCUGGAGCUGCUUUGUGCCUUGAUUCACAGCCUGGAAGAAGGUCCCAGACCACAAAUCCUGCAGCGAGCCGCUGUGCCCAGCUCCUUGACUCAGCCUGCAUGCAGGGAACUUGAAAAUAAUAACUCCUUCAGCUGAGGCUACACAACCACAAUCAGGCAAUUCAGUGCAUGGCUUAGGUGUUCUCCUGGGUUCCCGUCUGACUUCAGGCCUUCACCAAAGAGCUUCUGAGAACAACUCUGCCUGUCUCUGCUUAGCUCGGAAACGCCAUCCCAUCCUGGCAGACAACAAUCUGGAUGCAAUUUCUCACCUUAUGGGCCUGCUCCGUAAGAUUACAGCAAUGAACGUGCCCAGGGAUGAUGCUGUUAGCUAGUACAGAGCUCCAGAUGGUGCCAAAAGGUGCAUUUUUUCAGCAGUUCGGGUGUUGGGAGGCACCACACAGGUGGGCUGCUUGCUUCUGUGGCUUCUCAUUGCGUUUCAAACCUCUCUGAGGAUAUCGGUGCCCAUGUGCAGGGCACUUACUGGUGACAUGGUGCCUGCAGUGCCAGCCAAAGCGACUUGGCAGAACUCAGCACUGACAUCUCUGCUGUAGCACCCACGGCCCCUCAGGAAGGGGAGCAGUGAUGCAGCAGCAGGAUGGACAUUGGGCACGAUGCUCCUCACGCUCCUGGGGCACCUCCAGGCUCCAAAUCGGACACAAAGGACUCAGCCCUGAGUCCUGAUGGGUGGCAACGAGAACAGACGAGUCUACCCCUGGCUCGCUGGCCACUUUUUCACCAGACGGGGCUUGCUGAAGGCCGCUUGUCUGGGAAAGCACGCUGGCACACCACUAGUUAACCUCCUAGGCACAAAGCUCUUAUUCAAAACCCUUGGAGGCUCAGUGCCUUGCAGAGGCUCGGUGAGAUGGUUGGGGAGCCUUGGUCCGGGAGGGCCCGGCUAUUCCAGACAGGACCACAGAGGCAGAUUGUGGUGUGGCUCUACCCGGUGGGCUUGACCUUCCCGAAGCAGUUUAACGCAUCCCCAUCCCCAGAAAACCACCAAGACCGAAGCUUUUUUGCAAAAAAUGAAGGCCUGUGUUCCACGGCUGCCUAGAUUUCCUCUCAAGCUGUUAAUUCCGAAUCCUACAGAAUCAAAAGCAAAAUGCACUCGGGGCUUUAAAUGUGUCACGACUGAAUUGCCCUACAGAAAGCCCAGGUUUUAUUCCUUUUCCCAGAUCUCAUGCUUGCUCAUUAAUUAGUGCAAGUCUGAGGAGAUUAGAUGACUUUUUAAUGUUUCCCAUGUAAAAAACGCAUAAAGUGACUUUUUUGUUUUUUCCUCUGCAAAUGGAAAAGGAAAAGUAAAGAGAACUUUUUCAUUUA